rnacentral:rRNA from 1 species
AACGAACGCUGGCGGCGUGGAUUAGGCAUGCAAGUCGAACGAGAAUCUUUCAGUUCAAGUUUUCGGACAAGAACUGUUGGAGGACAGUGGCGGAAGGGUGAGGAAUACAUGGGUAAUCUAUCUUCAAGUUGGGUAUAACUUCUCGAAAGGGGAGAUAAUCCCUGAUGUGGUAAUCCGGCGCAUGCCGGAGAAACUAAAGGCGGGGACCGCAAGGCCUGCCGCUUGAUGAGGAACCCGUGCACUAUCAGCUUGUUGGUGAGGUAAUGGCUCACCAAGGCAUUGACGGUUAGCUGGUCUGAGAGGAUGGUCAGCCACACUGGGACUGAGAUACUGCCCAGACUCCUACGGGAGGCUGCAGUCGAGAAUCAUUCGCAAUGGGCGAAAGCCGGACGAUGGGACGUCGCGUGGAGGAUGAAGGUCUUCGGAUUG